rnacentral:rRNA from 1 species
AGUAAACCUGGGCCUUGGCCCAGUUGACACAUGUUUUAACGGCCGCGGUACCCUGACCGUGCAAAGGUAGCAUAAUCACUUGUUCUCUAAUUAAGGACCCGUAUGAAUGGCCAAACGAGGAUUCAACUGUCUCCUAUUUCCAAUCAGUGAAAUUGACCCUCCCGUGAAGAGGCGGGAAUAAGCAUACAAGACGAGAAGACCCUGCGGAGCUUAAAUUAAUCAGCCCAACAACAACCCACUGCCCAACAGGAAUAAACAAAUGCAGUAUGGGCUGCCAAUUUUGGUUGGGGUGACCUCGGAGCAAAACAAACCCUCCGAAUGAUAAGCACCAAGACCUACAAGUCAAAGUCCAUUAUAUCACUUAUUGACCCAAAAUAUUGAUCAACGGAACCAGUUACCCCAGGGAUAACAGCGCAAUCCUAUUACAGAGCCCAUAUCGACAAUAGGGUUUACGACCUCGAUGUUGGAUCAGGACAUCCAAAUGGUGCAGCCGCUAUUAAAGGUUCGUUUGUUCAACGAUUAAAGUCCUACGUGAUCUGAGUUCAGACCGGA